rnacentral:snRNA from 1 species
AUUUCAAAACAUAUAUUUGGAGACAUCCAAUAAAAUUAGAACGAUACAAAGAAGAUUAGCAUGACCCUUGCACAAGGAUGACACGCACAAAUCAAGAAAUAGUAUCAGACUUG